GAUGAACGCUGGCGGCGUGCCUAAUACAUGCAAGUCGAGCGAACAGACGAGGAGCUUGCUCCUCUGACGUUAGCGGCGGACGGGUGAGUAACACGUGGAUAACCUACCUAUAAGACUGGGAUAACUUCGGGAAACCUGAGCUAAUACCGGAUAAUAUAUUGAACCGCAUGGUUCAAUAGUGAAAGACGGUUUUGCUGUCACUUAUAGAUGGAUCCGCGCCGCAUUAGCUAGUUGGUAAGGUAACGGCUUACCAAGGCAACGAUGCGUAGCCGACCUGAGAGGGUGAUCGGCCACACUGGAACUGAGACACGGUCCAGACUCCUACGGGAGGCAGCAGUAGGGACUCUUCCGCAAUGGGCGAAAGCCUGACGGAGCCACGCCGCGUGAGUGAUGAAGGUCUUCGGAUCGUAAAACUCUGUUAUUAGGGAAGAACAAAUGUGUAAGUAACUAUGCACGUCUUGACGGUACCUAAUCAGAAAGCCACGGCUAACUACGUG
rnacentral:rRNA from 1 species